rnacentral:lncRNA from 1 species
GAGGGCGUUCGGCGACGUUACUGGGGCUGCACGGUGCUUGUAGCUGGGCAGUCUUAUCAUCAGAGUGGAGCCUGGUAACCACGACCUCCCCGCCAGGUCCUGUGUGUUGCUAGCUGGAGAAGGGUAGUUGAAAACUCAGACCAAGCACAGUGUUUAUAUCGGUCAAAACUGGAAAACUAUGUCCGGGCGCAGCCGAGGCUGGAGGAUCCCUUCAGGCCAAGAGCAACCUAGCAAUAUGGCGCGACCGGAUCUCUGUAGUCCUACCUCAACCCCCAGCUACUUGAACCCCAAGGUUGAAGGCUCCAGUGAGCUAUGAUCCCACCACAGCAUUGCAGCCUGCCAGACUGAGGGCUUGAGGAUCAGCCAGGUUUCAUGAGUUCAAUGCAGACCUGAAUCAUACCAAGCUGAGACUGGGGUACACACUCUCCUCUACUGAAAAGUAGUGAGGGAUUCCAACUUGGUGAGAGGGAGAGUGGGGGAGAGCCAGACCAGACAAGAGUGCUCACCUGGAAAAAGCCUGCCAUCAAAGGCCAU